GGACUCUGAUAGGAGUUCCUCCCUUCUCUCCUCUCAGAUAAACAAUGGAAAAUGAAAGCGUAAAGAAGUCUAGAAAGCGUAGCCGUCAAUAAUGGCUUAGAAAUAACAUAAAUAGGGUUUCUGGUUCUCUAAGGGUAUUUUGGUAAUUUGUGGUUACUUCUGGUCAUAAAAUAUACAAGGCUCAAGAUCUGGGAUCUCCAUCGAUCGACGUGCAGAGUGCUGCAUCGAUCGACGCGGCUUCCUCUUCUCGGCAGCUUCCUCUCGCGAGACAGACUGACCACUCUUCAGUAAAACGGGCAUAACAUUUGCUACAGGAUUCUGAUUGACCUAAGACCGGUGGAAUUGGAAAGCUAACUCCAAGCUCUAUCUUGGAUCAAAAUAUGAGGUCAAUCUAACGGUCGGAAAGUCUCCAUCCGUAGCUAAACAUCUGACGUGUUUGUGCAACUCUGCACCUCCAAAAGUUCCAAAAGACUCCAAAAUCACCAUAUUUCUCCUAAACGUCCCUGAACC
rnacentral:lncRNA from 1 species